CCAAGACUUUUGGGAACGUGUAC
rnacentral:piRNA from 1 species